rnacentral:rRNA from 1 species
GGAUUCCCCUAGUAACUGCGAGUGAAGAGGGAAAAGCUCAAAUUUAAAAUCUGGCGGUCUUUGGCUGUCCGAGUUGUAAUUUAGAGAAGUGUUGCCCGUGCUGAACCGUGUACAAGUCUCCUGGAAUGGAGCGUCAUAGAGGGUGAGAAUCCCGUCUUUGACACGGAUCUCAGUGCAUUGUGGUACACUCUCAAAGAGUCGAGUUGUUUGGGAAUGCAGCUCUAAAUGGGUGGUAAAUUCCAUCUAAAGCUAAAUAUUGGGGAGAGACCGAUAGCGAACAAGUACCGUGAGGGAAAGAUGAAAAGAACUUUGGAAAGAGAGUUAAACAGUACGUGAAAUUGCUGAAAGGGAAACGCUUGAAGUCAGUCGCGUUGGCCGGGGAUCAGCCUUCCUUUUGGAUGGUGUACUUCCUGGUUAAUGGGUCAGCAUCAGUUUUGACCAGUGGAUAAUAGCUUGAGGAAUGUGGCAUCUCCGGGUGUGUUAUAGCCUCUUGUUGUAUACAUUGGUUGGGACUGAGGAACUCAGCACGCCGCAAGGCCGGGUUUUUAACCACGUUCGUGCUUAGGAUGCUGGCAUAAUGGCUUUAAUCGA